rnacentral:rRNA from 1 species
AGAGUUUGAUCAUGGCUCAGAGUGAACGCUGGCGGCGUGCUUAACACAUGCAAGUCGAACGAGAACGGAUUUAAGCUUGCUUAAAUUGUCAGCUAAGUGGCGCACGGGUGAGUAAUAUAUAGUUAAUCUGCCCUAGAGAGAGGGAUAACAUUUGGAAACGGAUGCUAACACCUUAUAUGCCUUUAAGACAAAAGUCUGCAAGGGAAACAUCUAUGGCUCUAGGAUGAGACUGUACGGUAUCAGCUUGUUGGUGAGGUAAUGGCUCACCAAGGCAAUGACACCUAACUGGUUUGAGAGGAUGAUCAGUCACACUGGAACUGAGACACGGUCCAGACUCCUACGGGAGGCAGCAGUGGGGAAUAUUGCACAAUGGACGAAAGUCUGAUGCAGCAACGCCGCGUGGAGGAUGACACAUUUCGGUGCGUAAACUCCUUUUAUAUAGGAAGAUAAUGACGGUACUAUAUGAAUAAGCGCCGGCUAACUCCGUGCCAGCAGCCGCGGUAAUACGGAGGGCGCAAGCGUUACUCGGAAUCACUGGGCGUAAAGAGCGUGUAGGCGGGUUAAUAAGUCAGAAGUGAAAUCCUAUAGCUCAACUAUAGAACUGCUUUUGAAACUGUUAACCUAGAAUAUGGGAGAGGUAGAUGGAAUUUCUGGUGUAGGGGGUAAAAUCCGUAGAGAUCAGAAGGAAUACCGAUUGCGAAGGCGAUCUACUGGAACAUUAUUGACGCUGAGACGCGAAAGCGUGGGGGAGCAAACAGGGAUUAGA